GUUGAAACAUCGGCUACCGUACGAUCACAGAUGUUAAGCAGCGUCGAGCUUGGUCAGUACUUAGAUGGGUGACCGCUUGCAAUGACCAGGUGCUGUAC